GCCUAGCUGGCUCAGACAGUGGAGCAUGUGACUCUUGAUCUCAGGUUGUGAGUUUGAGCCCCAUGUCAGGCU
rnacentral:tRNA from 1 species